rnacentral:rRNA from 1 species
UACGUAGGGUGCAAGCGUUGUCCGGAAUUAUUGGGCGUAAAGAGCUCGUAGGCGGUCUGUCGCGUCGGCUGUGAAAACUUGGGGGCUCAACCCCCAAGCCUGCAGUCGAUACGGGCAGACUAGAGUGCGGUAGGGGAGACUGGAAUUCCUGGUGUAGCGGUGAAAUGCGCAGAUAUCAGGAGGAACACCGGUGGCGAAGGCGGGUCUCUGGGCCGAUACUGACGCUGAGGAGCGAAAGCGUGGGGAGCGAACAGG